rnacentral:rRNA from 1 species
UACGUAGGGUGCAAGCGUUGCCCGGAUUUAUUGGGCGUAAAGAGCGUGUAGGCGGCCAGGUAGGUCAGCUGUGAAAACUCGAGGCUCAACCUCGAGACGUCGGCGGAAACCAUCUGGCUAGAGUCCGGAAGAGGAGAGUGGAAUUCCUGGUGUAGCGGUGAAAUGCGCAGAUAUCAGGAAGAACACCCGUGGCGAAGGCGGCUCUCUGGGACGGUACUGACGCUGAGACGCGAAAGCGUGGGGAGCGAACAGG